CACGUAGGGGGCAAGCGUUGUCCGGAUUUGUUGGGCGUAACGAGCUCGUAGGCGGCUCAGUAAGUCAGGUGUGAAACCUCCAGGCUCAACCUGGAGACGCCACCUGAUACUGCUGUGGCUAGAGUCCGGUAGGGGAGCGUGGAAUUCCUGGUGUAGCGGUGAAAUGCGCAGAUAUCAGGAGGAACACCAGCGGCGAAGGCGGCGCUCUGGGCCGGAACUGACGCUGAGGAGCGAAAGCGUGGGUAGCAAACAGG
rnacentral:rRNA from 1 species